CUAUUUUCUACUUAGGAGUGUCUAAACUUAAAAAGUCAUUCAUUCGUCUCUACUCCUCCUGCAGAUCGGGACAACUCCCAAUCGGGCUUUUCUUGAUUUAAUUCUUGCAAGCCUCAAAAAUGCCAUCUCUACAGUUGGGGGCCCACGAUCAUCACUGCAGCAAAGUUCCUUAUGGAAUACAAUUCAUUCGAUGGGUUACUACCGAACGAACAACGCAAGUCUAUCGCACAUGGGUACUCAUUCUAACCUUCCUCGCCUAUGCUUCCUAUCAACUUUCAAGAAAACCAAUCACUGUCGUAAAGG